rnacentral:rRNA from 1 species
CAGCCACCACGGGAAUACGAAGGGGGCUAGCGUUGCUCGGAAUUACUGGGCGUAAAGGGAGCGUAGGCGGACAUUUAAGUCAGGGGUGAAAUCCCGGGGCUCAACCUCGGAAUUGCCUUUGAUACUGGGUGUCUUGAGUAUGAGAGAGGUAUGUGGAACUCCGAGUGUAGAGGUGAAAUUCGUAGAUAUUCGGAAGAACACCAGUGGCGAAGGCGACAUACUGGCUCAUUACUGACGCUGAGGCUCGAAAGCGUGGGGAGCAAACAGGAUUAGAUACCCGUGUAGUCCCUGUCUCUUAUAA